rnacentral:rRNA from 1 species
UCCGGUCUGAACUCAGAUCACGUAAAGUAUUAAAAGUCGAACAGACUCUCUCUUAUAGCGGCUACACCAUAGAGAUACUUUAAUUCAACAUCGAGGUCGCAAACUUUUUCUUCGAUAAGAACUCUCAAAAAAAAUAACGCUGUUAUCCCUAAAGUAUCUUAAUCUUUUAAUCUAUUUAAGGAUCAAUUUGUAUUAAGCAAUGAUUAUUGUAUUUAAAUUAUAGACAGUUUAUUUAUAUAUCUACGCCGCCCCAGCGCAACAAACCUAUAUUUUUAUUUCUUAUACACUUAUAAGCUAAAAUAUAAAAUAUAUUUAUUGUAAAGAUUUAUAGGGUCUUAUCGUCUUUUUGAUUUAUUUAAGCCUUUUCACUUAAAAGUCAAAUUCAAUAAAUAUUUAAGAAACAGAUGAUACUUUGUCCAACCUUUCAUUCAAGCCUUUAUUUAAAAGACAAUUUA